rnacentral:rRNA from 1 species
GACGAACGCUGGCGGCGUGCCUAAUACAUGCAAGUCGAACGCAGUGGGGACGGGUGAGUAACACGUGGGUAACCUCCCAUCAGAGGGGAUAACACUUGGAAACAGGUGCUAAACCGAUACUGAUGGAUGGACCCGCGUUGCAUUAGCUAGUUGGUGAGGUAACGGCUCACCAAGGCCACGAUCCCUAGCCGAGCUGAGAGGGUGAUCGGCCACACUGGGACUGAGACACGGCCCAGACUCCUACGGGAGGCAGCAGUGGGGAAUCUUGGGCAAUGGACGAAAGUCUGACCGAGCAACGCCGCGUGAGUGAAGAAGGUUUUCGGAUUGUAAAACGCUUUUGUUAGAGAAGCGUUACUCACCGAGAAAGCCACGGCUAACUCCGUGCCAGCAGCCGCGGUAAUUC